rnacentral:rRNA from 1 species
CGAAGGGAGCUAGCGUUAUUCGGAAUAACUGGGCGUAAAGCGCAUGUAGGCGGAACUACAAGUCAGAGGUGAAAUCCCAGGGCUCAACCCUGGAAUUGCCUUUGAAACUGUAGUUCUUGAGUAUGACAGAGGAUGGUGGAAUUUCCAGUGUAGAGGUGAAAUUCGUAGAUAUUGGAAAGAACACCGGUGGCGAAGGCGACCAUCUGGGUCAUAACUGACGCUGAGAUGCGAAAGCGUGGGGAGCGAACGGGAUUAGAUACCCCGGUAGUCCACGCCGUAAACGAUGAGUGCUAGUCGUUGGGUUUUUACUCAGUGACACAGUUAACACGUUAAGCACUCCGCCUGGGGAGUACGGUCGCAAGAUUA